rnacentral:rRNA from 1 species
UACGUAGGGGGCAAGCGUUGUCCGGAUUUAUUGGGCGUAAAGAGCGUGUAGGCGGCCAUACAGGUCCGUUGUGAAAACUCGAGGCUCAACCUCGGAGACGUCGAUGGAAACCGUAUGGCUAGAGUCCGGAAGAGGAGAGUGGAAUUCCUGGUGUAGCGGUGAAAUGCGCAGAUAUCAGGAGGAACACCGAUGGCGAAGGCAGGCUCUGGGCAUUAACUGACGCUGGAGGAGCGAAAGCAUGGGGAGCGAACAGG